rnacentral:lncRNA from 1 species
CCCCUGUCCCCAGCCAGACCCCCAGGACUCCCAUGCCUCUGUCUCUUAUACACAUCUCAGCCCCCCCCCCCCUUGAAGUCUGCAGGGCUCAGCAAUCCUGCCACUUGGAGCACAUUGCAGGAUCAGAGCUUACACCAGAUUUCAAUUAACCUUCAUACAAGGGGGGCGCGGGGUGAUUGAUUGUGUCACCCUCUGGGUUUGUCAGAUAUCAGGCGCUGCUGUAAAAUGCACCUGUUUCCCCAGGCUUGUGGUAUCCAGGUUAAUAGACGGUGCCCAUCACCAUGGGCUCUGAGAGCAUUUCAGAGGACCCAAAAGGGGGAUUCCGUGUUGGGGAGGGUGGAUGAGGAGGGAGUGUUGUUAUUUCCAUUCCCCUAGCACCCAAGGGCCAGUCUGGGAGCUCCGCAGGGGCAGGUUUGCUCAGGCCUGGGGGAGCUGGGGGCUGGACGGCCGAGCCUGCUCCCCUCCUGCCCAGCGGAGAGAAGGACGCCAGAGGGGAACCGAGCAAGCAGCUUUUCCAACUCCGGCCCGCCUGCUCCCAACCGGCUCAGCCCUUCCUAGCAGCGACUUUCCCCCGGUCCCUAACGGUCUUCCAGCCUGGCUCAGCACUUUGCUCACACUCCCUUGCGCUGCGAUGUGCGCCCCCCGGCUGCUGUGUGCGCGGUGCAAGGGGCUGGCGGCCCCACUUCCACUCCGGCCGAGGCGAAGGAAACCUCCAUGCUAGAGCCAUAUCACAUCCAAUCCAGCAACAACUAACACCUCAAAACCUGGAACUGCUCUUUCUGCUGCCUGACUUUUGCCUCAGAUUGACAGAGGAGGCUUUUUAAAAACCAACUCCCCUGCCCCCCAUCCCAGCCACUUACCAAGUGAUUUGCUGUGAUGGAUUUCAGAUGGACAUGGUAGGUGCACACAACUGGAUCUUGUUUCAGCUCUUAAGUAAAUCUCAUCUUACAUUUAUUACUGGAUACUAAAGUAAAACAUUCCUCUACCCCUGCUAUAGCUUUACCUAUACAAUAACUACUGUAACACCUUUGCCCAAGUAAAAAUAGCUGCUUGGAAAAAAACUGAAUACAAAGAAACGUAUAUUCACUAAAAGCAAACUAUGGCAUAAUCCUGUUGUAUUGUUAGUGUGCCCUUCCUAGAAGUUCCUACUUCAUAACCAUAUUGCCCAGGUGAUGGCAAUCAGAACUGAUUUCACUUGAUCUUCAUCACUUUAUACAGGCUGAGGAUCUGGCCCUUGCUUUUCCAGGAGUGUGUACGUUUACUACAUGUAUUUGGAAGAGUUUCUUUCUUUCCAGUAACUCAAGGUGGCUUAGCAUAUUUUUGAAAAUGAAUAUUUGUGCACUUACACUCUAAUGUAGAGAUGUAUCCUUCCCCUUUGAAGUCAAAUGGGAGUUUUGCCAAAGAGUUGGAUGGGGUCAGGGUCAGGCUGUAGGUGAU